rnacentral:rRNA from 1 species
AACGAACGCUGGCGGCAUGCCUAACACAUGCAAGUCGAACGAGACCUUCGGGUCUAGUGGCGCACGGGUGCGUAACGCGUGGGAACCUGCCCUUAGGUUCGGAAUAACUCCCCGAAAGGGGUGCUAAUACCGGAUAAUGUCUUCGGACCAAAGAUUUAUCGCCUUUGGAUGGGCCCGCGUUGUAUUAGCUAGUUGGUAGGGUAAAAGCCUACCAAGGCGACGAUCCAUAGCUGGUCUGAGAGGAUGAUCAGCCACACUGGGACUGAGACACGGCCCAGACUCCUACGGGAGGCAGCAGUGGGGGAUAUUGGACAAUGGGCGAAAGCAUGAUCCAGCAAUGCCGCGUGAGUGAUGAAGGCCUUAGGGUUGUAAAGCUCUUUUACCCGGGAUGGUAAUGACAGUACCGGGAGAAUAAGCUCCGGCUAACUCCGUG